GNCCAACCAGAUCAAAUUAAGAUAAAUACAGUAGAAAAGGAGGUUAUAGAACAGCGGUUAAUUGAAUUUAAUCUAUUUACUAAAAGAUUACGAUUCUUGUAAAGGUGGAAUUUGCAGAAGAUAAAUAAUCUAUUACUUUUUUUUUUCUUGAGGCCUCGAAACCUUCGUAAAAAACCGGGAUUAGAUACCCCGCUAUUGAAGGCAUAAAUCUUAACCUAAAAUACUUUACUAGAGUAUUACGGGCCCUAAAUUUAAAAUUUAUAGUAUAAGCCUAAAACUCAAAAAACUUGGCGGUGCCUUAUAUCCUCUCAGGGGAACCUGUCCUAUAAUCGAUAGUCCACGAUUUACCUUUCCUUUAUUUGAAUUAAUCUCAGUCUGUAUACCGUCGUCGCCAGAUUACCUCUUAGAGCUAAAAAGUUAUCUAUAAGAAUAACAUUAAAAAUGUUGAACUGCAAGUUCAAUUUUAUUAAUUUUAUCCUAAACGUCAGAUCAAGGUGCAGCCAAUAUAAAGGAAGAGAUGGGUUACAAUAAACAUUCUUUAUACGAAUAUCUUUUUGAAAAUAUAAGUUUAAAGGAGGACUUGAAAGUAAUCAGAGAAAUAGAAAAUCUCAGUGAAUACGGCCCUAAGGCGUGC
rnacentral:rRNA from 1 species